AGACUCCGCGGGCUAAACUCAGGGGCAAGCACAAGCUAAGGGCUCUCAGAGCGGGAUGUGUGUGGGAAUGCCCGCUCCAGAGCAAGCCAGGGUCCGGGGUUAACUCACCCCGACGCCCGCACCUCACCACAGCACAUCUUACCUUUAACCAGGAAAAGCCGGUCAUUCGUGGACCCCGGAGCCUCCAGCCCAGAGGCCGGCUGCCCAGUUGCAGCGCCCGCUGUCUCCAUGUUUAGGUCGCCUCUAGUGCGUCCGUCCCCAACUGGGCCCGGGUGGAAGCGAGAACCAGGCGGAGGAGAAAGGUUCCGCUACCGCCUCCUCCUGUGCAAUCUGAAGAAGGGUCCGGAGUGCGGCCGCUGUCCCCAAACCCUCCUCCCGCGCCGGGGCCGGGAAGACGUGCUGUGCCCAGCCCCAGGGGCGAUGCCCUCCAAGGCCGUCUCUUAGGGAGGAUCUUUUGAUUUCUCCAAGGAGAUCAUUGCUGGACUUAAGUGAUUACUUUGGCUGUUUGAAAGAACGCUCAGCCCCGACUGUAGGAGGCAGUGAGGGUCGCAGAUUGCGCCAAGAUUCCAGGCCCCGCCUGUGAGACCCUGGAGCUCAUUUUCCUGAUCAAGCUUACAUUGUGUCCAACGAUUUGGCCAGCGCUAACACUCCACGAUUCUAAAACGCAAGCCUAGGUCUUCUGUCUGUACUUUUCUAGGUAACUUCCCAACAGUGUUGAGGAAUAAGUGACAGGCUUUCUCCCUGGAGGAGAGCCAGCCACCCGGUUCUGCGGUGACGGGUACCUCCGCCGCGGUGUGAGUGCUCGGCCUCCGUCGGGAAGUGGAACACUCACAGGAUGACCGAAUGAAAGUACCACCCCCGAAAGGAGAGCGACGCCCGCUGGAAGCGCUUGCAGAGCUGCCGGCAACGUUGACCGCUAGCAAGCUUGGUCUUCCGCUGGGAGGCUGGUUUGCCCAUUCUGUAAAUGGCCGUGGAGAGGAGGAGGCUAGUGGUGAUAGAAAAUCUUUUCAGCCUCUCAGAGAACAAUGACAUCUUGUAAAAUAAGGCGGUCUCUCUGCUAUUUGUCCUGCCCCCCAUCACCGGAGGGCAUGAGUUUCCUGAGGAUGGAGAUGGGACUCUAUGUUCAGUUUAUAUCCCCCAGCUUUCAGAUAUUAACUGGUUACCAACAUCAAAUGCAUGUUGGAUGAAUGAGUAAAUGAAUGCAUCCAUUUUUGCGUCAGUGAAGUGCAGUUAAUAGCUCAAACCUGGGCUCGGGUCCUAAACCGCUUCUCAGGUGUGUGAACUUGGGGUAACUUAGCCCCUCUAUAGCUCAGUUUCCUCACCUGUAAAAUUUAAAAACUGGUAGUAGGCCAGGCGCGGUGGUUCACGCCUGUAAUCCCAGCACUUUGGGAGGCUGAGGCAGGUGGAGAUCAGAAGUUCGAGAUCAGCCUGGCCAACAUGGUGAAACCCCGUUUCUACUAAAAAUACAAAAAUUAGCGGAGUCUAAUGAUGCGGGACUGUAAUCCCAGCUACUCGGGAGGCUGAGGCAGGAGAAUGGCUUGAACCUGGGAGGGAGAGGUUGCAGUGAGCCGAGAUCGAGCCGUUGCACUCCAGCCUGGAUGACAAGAGUGAAACUCUGCCAUCCACCCCAUCCCGCCCCCCCCACACACAAAAACUGAUAGUACCUAACUCAUAGGAUUACUGUGAGAAUUAAAUGAAGCAACAUCUAUAAAGAAGUUAGCACAGUGCCUGGCACAUAUAAAUAUUCAAUACAUGUUAGCUCUAACUAUUACCACCUUUGAUUCCAGUAGCUAUUUUGCAGCAUUGCCUAUGGGGAUUUUUAAAAAUGAUGGAUUAUCAAGGUCUAUCUACCACGGGAGAUUAGAGCUCUGAAGGCCCGCGGGUGGCAGGGCAGAAUGUAAAAGCUCCGUGGGGUUUCUGAUGAUAAAAAACUACUGCUCUGUUCAAAUUUUUGUGUGGAUGAGAUCACACAGAAUGUAUGUGACCUUUGGAUUUCCUGGAAACACGUCAGUAUCUGAAAGGGCUUUUAAGCUGGUAAAUGCUGUGCUAAUUUGUUGAAGGACCUAUCCUUUUUCCUUCCCCUCAUACAUAACAGUAACCAUAGCUGCUAACAUGUAUUGAGUGCUUUCUAUAUAUCUGACAUUGCACUAAGUGCUUCAAGUACAUUAUCUCAUUUAUUCCUCUCCAUAAACUCAGAAAGACUAACUUGCUCAAGCUCACACAGCUGUUAAGUGGCAGAGACAGGGCUUAAAAGCAGGUCCUUCCUUAUCCACUGUGCCAGUCGUCCUCAAGUGUGAACUUGAAUAUUGGAAUCACCUGGAAGGCUUAUUGCACUCAGCUUGCUGGGCCCCAUUCCCAGAGUCUGUGACUCAGUGGGGGCUGAGAACGUGUAUGUCUAAGUUCCCAGGUGAUGCUGUUGCCACGGAUUCCACUUCGAGAACAUCUUCUGUGUGCCUUCCUCUUAUGGAUUACACCUCUUAAAAUCCACACCAUACACUUUAGCACUUGGAAAUCUGUUUUCCCAAGACUGCUUAGGGAGAAAAAGUGCAGAUUCCUCCACUCUCUUCUUUGCUGUCCCCUUAGAAAACGACAGAAACAUUUUAAGGAUUAAGCUGGGCACAGUGGCUCAAACCUGUAAUCCUAGUGCUUUGGGAGGUCGAGGCAGGCAGAUCACUUGAGGUCAGGAGUUUGAGACCAGCCUGGCUAACAUGGCGAAACCCCA
rnacentral:lncRNA from 1 species